rfam:Branchiostoma floridae genomic scaffold BRAFLscaffold_240, whole genome shotgun sequence.
AAAGGUCUGUGUGGAUGGCGUUCAGCACCAAGGACAGGUGUGUUAAACUGUGUGUGGAUGGUCUUCAGCACUAGGCACAAGUCUGUCUACAA